rnacentral:rRNA from 1 species
UACGUAGGGGGCAAGCGUUGUCCGGAAUCAUUGGGCGUAAAGCGCGCGUAGGCGGCUCGAUCAGUCUGCUGUAAAAGUCAAAGGCUCAACCUUUGAAUGCCGGUGGAUACUGUCGAGCUAGAGUCCGGAAGAGGCGAGUGGAAUUCCUGGUGUAGCGGUGAAAUGCGCAGAUAUCAGGAGGAACACCAAUGGCGAAGGCAGCUCGCUGGGACGGUACUGACGCUGAGACGCGAAAGCGUGGGGAGCAAACAGG